GACGUAGGAGGCGAGCGUUAUCCGGAUUCACUGGGCGUAAAGCGCAUGUAGGCGGAUGGACAAGUCCUAGGUUAAAGCCCCCCGCUCAACGGGGGGAGGUCCUGGGAGACUGUACGUCUGGAGGGCAGCAGAGGAGCGUGGAACUCCCGGUGUAGCGGUGGAAUGCGUAGAGAUCGGGAAGAACACCAGUGGCGAAGGCGACGCUCUGGGCUGCAUCUGACGCUGAGAUGCGAAAGUGUGGGGAGCAAAC
rnacentral:rRNA from 1 species